rnacentral:rRNA from 1 species
AGUAGGUGGGGUAACGGCUCACCUAGGCGACGAUCCCUAGCUGGUCUGAGAGGAUGACCAGCCACACUGGAACUGAGACACGGCCCAGACUCCUACGGGAGGCAGCAGUGGGGAAUAUUGCACAAUGGGCGCAAGCCUGAUGCAGCCAUGCCGCGUGUAUGAAGAAGGCCUUCGGGUUGUAAAGUACUUUCAGCGGGGAGGAAGGGAGUAAAGUUAAUACCUUUGCUCAUUGACGUUACCCGCAGAGGAAGCACCGGCUAACUCCGUGCCAGCAGCCGCGGUAAUACGGAGGGUGCAAGCGUUAAUCGGAAUUACUGGGCGUAAAGCGCACGCAGGCGGUUUGUUAAGUCAGAUGUGAAAUCCCCGGGCUCAACCUGGGAACUGCAUCUGAUACUGGCAAGCUUGAGUCUCGUAGAGGGGGGUAGAAUUCCAGGUGUAGCGGUGAAAUGCGUAGAGAUCUGGAGGAAUACCGGUGGCGAAGGCGGCCCCCUGGACGAAGACUGACGCUCAGGUGCGAAAGCGUGGGGAGCAAACAGGAUUAGAUACCCUGGUAGUCCACGCCGUAAACGAUGUCGACUUGGAGGUUGCGCCCUUGAGGCGUGGCUUCCGGAGCUAACGCGUUAAGUCGACCGCCUGGGGAGUACGGCCGCAAGGUUAAAACUCAAAUGAAUUGACGGGGGCCCGCACGAGCGGUGGAGCAUGUGGUUUAAUUCGAUGCAACGCGAAGAACCUUACCUGGUCUUGACAUCCACGGAAGUUUUCAGAGAUGAGAAUGUGCCUUCGGGAACCGUGAGACAGGUGCUGCAUGGCUGUCGUCAGCUCGUGUUGUGAAAUGUUGGGUUAAGUCCCGCAACGAGCGCAACCCUUAUCCUUUGUUGCCAGCGGUCCGGCCGGGAACUCAAAGGAGACUGCCAGUGAUAAACUGGAGGAAGGUGGGGAUGACGUCAA